GGGAACGUAUUCACCGCAGCGUUGCUGAUCUGCGAUUACUAGCGACUCCGACUUCAUGGGGUCGAGUUGCAGACCCCAAUCCGAACUGAGACCGGCUUUUUGGGAUUCGCUCCACCUUGCGGUAUCGCAGCCCUUUGUACCGGCCAUUGUAGCAUGCGUGAAGCCCUGGACAUAAGGGGCAUGAUGACUUGACGUCAUCCCCACCUUCCUCCGAGUUGACCCCGGCAGUCUCUUAUGAGUCCCCACCAUUACGUGCUGGCAACAUAAGACGAGGGUUGCGCUCGUUGCGGGACUUAACCCAACAUCUCACGACACGAGCUGACGACAGCCAUGCACCACCUGUAUGGAGCCCUUACGGACCUCCCAUCUCUGGGAGAUUUCUCCAUAUGUCAAACCCAGG
rnacentral:rRNA from 1 species